AUUGAACGCUGGCGGCAGGCUUAACACAUGCAAGUCGAGCGGGCGAGGUUGCUUCGGUAACUGAGCUAGCGGCGGACGGGUGAGUAAUGCUUAGGAAUCUGCCUAUUAGUGGGGGACAACAUUCCGAAAGGAAUGCUAAUACCGCAUACGCCCUACGGGGGAAAGCAGGGGAUCUUCGGACCUUGCGCUAAUAGAUGAGCCUAAGUCAGAUUAGCUAGUUGGUGGGGUAAAGGCCUACCAAGGCGACGAUCUGUAGCGGGUCUGAGAGGAUGAUCCGCCACGCUGGGGCUGAGACACGGCCCAGACUCCUACGGGAGGCAGCAGUGGGGAAUAUUGGACAAUGGGCGCAAGCCUGAUCCAGACAUGCCGCGUGUGUGAAGAAGGCCUUUUGGUUGUAAAGCACUUUAAGCGAGGAGGAGGCUACUUGGAUUAAUACUCUAGGAUAGUGGACGCUACUCGCAGAAUAAGCACCGGCUAACUCUGUGCCAGCAGCCGCGGUAA
rnacentral:rRNA from 1 species